UCAUAGAAAAGGAGUAGUAACAUGAAGAGAUAAACAUAGUCAGAAGUAAUGGAGAAAAGGAAAGAAAGAAAAUAACAAAAAGAAGGGAAAGGAGAAGAAGAAGAGGACCAUGGAAGAUCAUCAUCAUCUUCAUAAUCAACACCAUGAUUUCAUCUUGUCUUCUUCACCAAUCUUCAUCAUCCCAAGGGGGGUUCCUAGGUAAGUCAUGUUUUGAUGGAAGGAGACUAGAAGAAAUGAAAGGAAAUGGCUUGGUUCAGUUAAAUUAUGUAGGAAAACUGUUAACCCACAUUUGUGAGUUAAUACAUGGCUUUAUGGUUAAUAAUUUAGUUAUAUUUUAAGUUUAUUUGUUUAUUUUCCCUGCAUAUUUAUUGUUUUAAUCAAAUUAGUGUGGAGUACAUUAGGUGCUCCCAUUUGUUAGUUUAACUUAUAUUUGGGUGCAGAAAUUAGCAAUAGUCAAGUUGAAGCAAGACUAAACUAGUCUGCUGGCAAGCUACGAGUUGAGGAAGCUUGAUUUAGAAAGAGACAAGAACUUGCAAGUUGCUACGUUAGUAAAUAUAGAGUGGAAAAAGGUACUAAUUAUAAGGAAGGCUCGGUGGUUGCUGAAAAUGAUAGUGGAAAGGACUCAAAUUCAAGGAUGCAGAGGUUGGCGCUAAAAGACAAAAUCUGGUACGAAGGUACACUGUACGCCGCCUGCUCCUGCUGUGACAGUCUGCACAUUUUGCCUUGUCCCCCACUGUUGUCGGAUGGUACGAAUAUUCCCUAUUUCUAUGUUGAAGACGUUGAGGAUUCGUGGGCUGGAUGAAAUUCUUGAAUCUAGGCCCAUGAUCCGAGGAAGCUAAAGAAACCCUAAUUCCUUGGCCUAUAUAAAGAGCUGAAAGCAUCAUUGGAAGGGGUUCACGAAAAAGAUAUUUCAAGUUUAUAAUAUACAAGUCUGAGAGUGUAUUUGCAGAAGUGUGAACGAGUUCCUCUCCUCUCUUAAGUCAGUGCUGGCAGAUGAUCUUUGACGCGACUAGAGUUUCCUCUUGAAGAUUAACCAUCUCAAGUCUUACUUCGAAUUCCUCUUAGGUUGAUUUCUUUUGUUCAUCUUUUUAUUUUAAGAUGUUUCCUUUGAGAACCAUGUUUAUUAUUUGUAAUUAGCUCAAUAUGAGCUAAACUUCUUGUAGUUGAGCUAUGUGAUAUUAAUAUUAGAGGUGUGUUUAUGUUA